rnacentral:rRNA from 1 species
UACGGAAGGCAGCAGUGGGGAAUAUUGCACAAUGGGCGCAAGCCUGAUGCAGCCAUGCCGCGUGUAUGAAAAAGGCCUUCGGGUUGUAAAGUACUUUCAGUCGUGAGGAAGGUGUUAAGGUUAAUAACCUUAGCAAUUGACGUUAGCGACAGAAGAAGCACCGGCUAACUCCGUGCCAGCAGCCGCGGUAAUACGGAGGGUGCGAGCGUUAAUCGGAAUUACUGGGCGUAAAGGGCACGCAGGCGGUUAAUUAAGUUGGAUGUGAAAUCCCCCGGGCUUAACCUGGGAAUGGCAUUCAAGACUGGUUAGCUAGAGUCUUGUAGAGGGGGUAGAAUUCCAUGUGUAGCGGUGAAAUGCGUAGAGAUGUGGAGGAAUACCGGUGGCGAAAGGCGGCCCCUGGACAAAGACUGACGCUCAUGUGCGAAAGCGUGGGGAGCAAACAGGGAUUAGAUACC